UCCCCCUUUCCAGCAAGAGACAAAGCCUCAAGCCUGAGACCAGAGCCUCUUUCUUUGGCCCUCAUCCCUCAUGCUAGCUUUGGUAUUUAUGUCUAUGCAGAUGGACCAGGCAGGGAUUCAUCCCUGUGGGACCCAAACACCAGCCAGACUGCGUCAUGAAUCCACAGUCCACUUCAGGGAAACAGGAUACAGAAAGGUCACAGCAGCCGCUCCACCUGCUGCAAGGCCAUCUACUGGUUCCUGCAGGAUCCCCCUGGUCCCUGAGGCUGCAGGUGCAGAGUGGCAAGUGGAAGGCUGGACCCCACACUCCAGGCAGAGUCCAUGGUGCAUCCCAACCCCAUACCUGGGAUCUCAGAACCUAAGCAGAGGGAGGACAGGGCCCCACGAGGAUCAGAGACCACCACUACGGACACAGCCACGGCGUGGUGCUGAAACCAGCUUGGAAAUGGAAGAUUCCAGAGAUGAUAUUUCGCCGACACCAACCCCCUACUCAGAGACCCUUGGACUCUGACCCUGCUGCCCAGCUACUGCUCCAUCUAUUCCUGAGCUCACAGGGAUUUAUGCUACUGCCCACAGACCACCAUGGCUGUAGGAAACUCCACUGGGAUAUCUGAGGAUCAAAGACAAAUUAGGAAAAUAUUGCCUUUAAUAAAAUUCAAACUUUUUCCUUAA